AACGAACGCUGGCGGCAGGCUUAACACAUGCUAGUCGAACGCCCCGCAAGGGGAGUGGCAGACGGGUGAGUAACGCGUGGGAACGUGCCCUUCGCUUCGGAAUAGCCCCGGGAAACUGGGAGUAAUACCGAAUACGCCGUAUUGGGAAAGAUUUAUCGGCGAAGGAUCGGCCCGCGUUAGAUUAGCUAGUUGGCGGUGUAAUGGACCACCAAGGCUACGAUCUAUAGCUGGUUUGAGAGGAUGAUCAGCCACACUGGGACUGAGACACGGCCCAGACUCCUACGGGAGGCAGCAGUGGGGAAUCUUGGACAAUGGGCGCAAGCCUGAUCCAGCCAUGCCGCGUGAGUGAAGAAGGCCUUAGGGUUGUAAAACUCUUUCGCCGGAGAAGAUAAUGACGGUAUCCGGAGAAGAAGCCCCGGCUAACUUCGUGCCAGCAGCCGCAGUAACAC
rnacentral:rRNA from 1 species